GGGUUCUUGGCUCAGUUGGUUUAGAGCGCUUCCCUGACACGGAAGAGGUCACGUGUUCGAAUCACGUAGGACCCA
rnacentral:tRNA from 1 species